UAGCAGCUAGUGCUAUGGUCAGCUACACCCUCUCAUCCAAAUAAGGUCACUUCUGGCUCCAAAAAUCAAAAGCCAAAAGUAUUUUUGUCCCUGACUUCCACAUGUUGGAUUGUUGGACAAAUAAGUAGUCCCUCAAGUAAGUAAACACCAAGAUGGAAUACUUGCACAGUCAACACAUGGUUAUUAUUAGGUGCAAACCACUGAGAACCACUCGUGCUUCUGGCAGAAGGAUGUUUGUGAAUAGUGCAGUAUACUGAUCAUCUUCCUCUUUUUCUGAAAGUACACAAAAGUAAAGAUAUCAAUACAACAGAUAUGCGUCAUUUUUCUGUGUGGCAGCGAUAUUUCACGACGGUAAGUAAACUUUUUUUUAAAAUCAGUUUUUGUCACAAUAAUGGUGACAAUGACAGUCAGUCAGAAAGCUCAGCAUCAGCCAGAAAUCAGCUGUGUUUGGAGGUUUUGUGACUAAUUAAUAAUUUGUUUAUUUUUCUGUCCGGCUGAAGAGCAACGUUAUGGCAGAACAAAGGAGAGAACAACAAGAAGAUGCCCAACAAUCAGGUUCAGGUCGAGAUGAAAACAGGUUAAAAUGCAACAUGGAAAUGACAGUUUCACACAUUGGUUUGUAAUGCUAAUUUCAAAUAAUGCUGUGAGUGAAUUAACAUUAUGGUUGGCAUACAGUCAGAUAGAUUAGAUUAGCCUCAAAAAGAUUAAGACUGGGCUGCACCAAUAAAGAUUAAUUUAAUAUAAGAUUAGUUUUAAUCAGUUUAGCAAAACUGUGCUUAAAAUGAGUAAAUCCAGAUUUAAAAGUAAGCACAGCUCCGUUGCACAAUUAAAAACUAAUCACUGUUUAUUGAAUCCGUAUGGAGAUGGUUGCUCACCCAAAUUACAUUUUAAAUUGGAGUUUAAAGUUUUGAUGCAAUAGAUUUAAAUUUAAUCUGGGUUUAGAGUAAAAACUCAACUGAGGUUUCAAUUGAAUCCUUCUUAAUUUUAAGAUAGUUAUAAAGUUUGGUGCAACAUAAUUUAAAGUUAAACCAUGACUCAAUCGGGUUUAAAAUGUAAUCCUUGUUGGUGCAACCCAGCCUAAAGGCUACAAACAUCCCAUAAUGCAACACUCUGUGUAGAAGUCAGUUUUACACUGAAGCUUCAUCCACUCAAAAAGAAUAUCUGAUGUUGUGAACACGUCAUUGUCUAGCUGUUAGCGGAGUGUGUAUGAAAAUUAACCUUUAGACCGACAUGUGUAACUAGUCAGAAAUGUUCUCGGCGGUUAACCGUUGACGUCACUAGUUUAAUGUGAAGAUGUUUGACAGUAACAGUAACAUCUGCUUUUCAUAGAUUUUUCAUAUUGAUUAUGGCGACAUUUUACUCACAGAAUGUAAAGACAAAAGGUUUCAGCUUGCUUUACUGGGUCUUUUGUGAUGCCACCACCAGGAGUCAGAAAUGUUUAAAUCCUCCACAAAUCCUCUACAAAACUCUAAUCUACACAAUUUAUUGGAUAGAUCCAACGACAGUAAAAGUUCAAACUUUAUCCAAACUCUCCAUCAGAUCUUGUCGGGGUACUUUCUGAUUCAUAAGGGACAUUUCUGCUAUUCAUGCAUUUAACAAACAUAUCAGAUGUCAAUGAAAUCACAGUAAAAGUGGUGAGUAAAAGUUGAAAUAUUGGAGGAUUUCAGAGGAUUUUGAGAACUGCAAAACAAAAGAAAGACCAGAUCCGAGACAUGAUGAGGAAGCAGAAUCAGUUGGAGCAGAAGUGCAUAGAGGUAAACGUCCAUUUGUCAUGUCACGUGGUUUAACUUCCAUCUGUGACUCAGUUAGCGAAGCCUAACGUUGUGUAUGCCUGGGGGAGGAAUGCAUGCCGAGGAGUGACAUCAUGAAGUGCUUCAGCAAAAGGCUCAGAAGAUCUCAAAAAGCUUGAAGACUUGAUGGAGCAACUGAAGGUCAUAUGCGUCUCUGAGGACGACGGUGUACAGGAGGACAUACUGGGACAGAAGCCUGCAGGAUCUCCUGAGUGACUCUUCUGCUGCAUCUCUCUGAAACAUUUUGUAUUUUAAAAUGUCUUUAUUAUUAUCUUCAUGUUGACUGCAGGGAACAUCAAACUCAGUAGCAGCAUAUUUACCACUGUCGGUAAACAUAAAUGUAGCUGUGGUUGAUAAUUUAUUGAUUUAUUUAGCAGUAACAACGUCAGUAAUGCAGAUAAUUAAUUGUAUCGUUACUCUUGUUUUCCAUCAAAUGGUAAAUGCAGAGGACAGACAACCAGAGAAGAAGAAGAAUCGAGACACCCCUGCAGCCAGUUCAAGUUUAGUCUCCCCCCGUGUGAGCCGGACUGAUGGAUGAGUUCAACGUUUCAUGUGAGAAAACCACAGCGACCACUGGUCUGCUCCACCGGCUGAAAGACACUUUUAGCUCCUUUUUAAAUCGAGGAUCAAACAACUGGGAAAAAGCUACCAAAAGGAUUCAGUUUCACCAGCAAAUACUGAUUAUUGAUUGUUUAACACGGCUUAAAAUAAAGAAUGUCUAAUAAAAAGGGCAGUAAAAUAAGAAAAGAUAUUGACGCUUUUGUGUUGUUGCUAAAAACUCUGUGAAUCUGUGGAUUACAGCGUCAUUCAAUAAGAUGAUUACACUAUAAAAAAGAAAAAUAUUGAUGUAUUAUAUUAAUCAAUACUUGGAAAAAAAACCCCUCAUAACUCAGUCACAUACACUCUGUGUCCACUUUAUUAGGUACACCUGUACAGUCUAAUGCAACCCAAUACAACUGUUGUGCCAUAAAGUUUUAGCAUUGAUGUCAUAUUUAGUCUAAUAUUCUGUUUCAUGUCCAGUAUGGAAAUGAGAGAAACACUUAUCAUUAUAAUGUAGUUCAGUACAACAACACCUUCAUCUCAUUGAAUCAUUGAAUUUUCUAACAAUGUCAACAAAAACUGAACAUGAGUUUUGUACAGAUAGACGCUGAGGCAGGGAUAUUAGACUGCACAGGUGUAGUCAGUAAAGUAAAGUUAUUGAACUCAAACUUAACUUAAAAGUGCAGUUUUUCCAUCUGAGAAACUGUUGUUGUAAAUUAGCUCUGGAAAGUGGAGCGAUACGGGCUCGAGUAAGGCAGAAUGAGAUUCAGAGGUCGUGAAAUGAUCAAAACUAACUUCAAAGCUUGAGUUUGUCAGUCACCCUGCGUGAACCUGUGAAGAGCCUCUGCAAUCUGUAGGAAACAAGUCUACAUGCCAUGCUAACGUUAGCCUGACAUUAGCAUGCUAACGGUAACAUGCCGAUGAUUAGCAGGUAUAAUGCAGUAUUUCCUCUAUAUUCAUUUAGCUUUAAUGUUAUCUAAAACUAAAGUGUUGUUCAGAUGCUUUAGAAGUUGUGAUUAUAUAGCCAUUAAAACACUUUUUUUUUUUUUUUUUUUAACACUGGAGCCUCAACUUCAAACAUAACUUAGACCCAAUCAGCAACAGAUAUGGGACAAAACCAGAAUUACUGCCCAAAGCAGCACAUCCGUAUUUAAGCUAUAAUAUGUAAUUAUUCUGCAUUAAAAUGUCUAAAAACAACUAGACCUAUGUUAUAUAUGUUGUUGA